rnacentral:rRNA from 1 species
UACGUAGGGGGCUAGCGUUGUCCGGAAUCAUUGGGCGUAAAGAGCGCGUAGGCGGCCAGAUAAGUCCGGUGUGAAAGUCACAGACUCAACCUGUGAAUGCCGCUGGAAACUGUCUGGCUAGAGUCCGGAAGGGGCGAGUGGAAUUCCUGGUGUAGCGGUGAAAUGCGCAGAUAUCAGGAAGAACACCUAUGGCGAAAGCAGCUCUCUGGGACGGUACUGACGCUGAGACGCGAAAGCGUGGGGAGCGAACAGG